rfam:Flavobacterium frigoris strain DSM 15719 genome assembly, contig: Ga0131223_105
CGCUACCCCUGAUAGCAAUGAAAAUCCUUUAUGUUUUUUCUUUAAAAAUAUAAAGAUUGAAAUGAAUAGCAGGAAAUAGC